rnacentral:rRNA from 1 species
CUGCUCAUGGAAUAUUAAAUAGCCGCAGAUUUUUCUGUGUUAAGGUAGCAUAAUCACUUACCUUCUAAUUAAAGGUCUGUAUGAAAGAUUAAACAAUUAAAUUUCUUUUUUAUUAAUUUUUAUUAAAGCUAAAUCAAAAAUAAAAAUGUUUUUAUUUAAAAAAUAGACGAUAAGACCCUAUUGAACUUUACUUUAGUUUAGCUGGGGAAGCUCGUUAAAUAUAAUUUUAAUCAAUUACAUAAAAUAAAUUUCUAACAUAAUUAAUUUAAAUAAGUUACCAUAGGGAUAACAGCAUAAUAUAAUUUUAAAGCUCAUAUUAAAAAUUAUGUUUAUGACCUCGAUGUUGAAUUAGAAUAUCUUCAAGAUGCAAUAAUCUUAAAAGUAGGUCUGUUCGACCUAUAAAAUUCUACAUGAUCUGAGUUCAAACCGGA